GACGAACGCUGGCGGCGUGCUUAACACAUGCAAGUGGAGCGACGAACCAGGCUUCGGCCUGGGGCAGAGCCGCGGACGGGUGAGUAACACGUGGGUAACCUGCCCUGAUGAUCGGGGACAACCCGGGGAACGUACGGCGUAAUACCGAAUGUGCCCGCGAGCCACAAGGCUUGCGAGGAAAGGAAGCUUCGGCCUCCGCAUCGGGAGUGGGCCCGGCCGGCCCAUUAG
rnacentral:rRNA from 1 species